rnacentral:rRNA from 1 species
CAGCAGCCGCGGUAAUACGUAGGGUGCGAGCGUUAAUCGGAAUUACUGGGCGUAAAGCGUGCGCAGGCGGUUGUGUAAGACAGGUGUGAAAUCCCCGGGCUCAACCUGGGAAUGGCAGUGGAUACUGGCUCGCUAGAGUGUGUCAGAGGAUGGUGGAAUUCCCGGUGUAGCGGUGAAAUGCGUAGAGAUCGGGAGGAACAUCAGUGGCGAAGGCGGCCAUCUGGGACAACACUGACGCUGAGGCACGAAAGCGUGGGGAGCAAACAGGAUUAGAUACCCGAGUAGUCCCUGUCUCUUAUAC